rnacentral:rRNA from 1 species
UACGUAGGGUGCGAGCGUUGUCCGGAAUUAUUGGGCGUAAAGAGCUCGUAGGCGGCUUGUCGCGUCGGAUGUGAAAGCCCGGGGCUUAACUCCGGGUCUGCAUUCGAUACGGGCAAGCUAGAGUUCGGUAGGGGAGAUCGGAAUUCCUGGUGUAGCGGUGAAAUGCGCAGAUAUCAGGAGGAACACCGGUGGCGAAGGCGGAUCUCUGGGCCGAUACUGACGCUGAGGAGCGAAAGCGUGGGGAGCGAACAGG